rnacentral:rRNA from 1 species
CUAACACAUGCAAGUCGAGCGGAUGAAGGGAGCUUGCUCCUGGAUUCAGCGGCGGACGGGUGAGUAAUGCCUAGGAAUCUGCCUGGUAGUGGGGGAUAACGUCCGGAAACGGGCGCUAAUACCGCAUACGUCCUGAGGGAGAAAGUGGGGGAUCUUCGGACCUCACGCUAUCAGAUGAGCCUAGGUCGGAUUAGCUAGUUGGUGGGGUAAAGGCCUACCAAGGCGACGAUCCGUAACUGGUCUGAGAGGAUGAUCAGUCACACUGGAACUGAGACACGGUCCAGACUCCUACGGGAGGCAGCAGUGGGGAAUAUUGGACAAUGGGCGAAAGCCUGAUCCAGCCAUGCCGCGUGUGUGAAGAAGGUCUUCGGAUUGUAAAGCACUUUAAGUUGGGAGGAAGGGCAGUAAGUUAAUACCUUGCUGUUUUGACGUUACCAACAGAAUAAGCACCGGCUAACUUCGUGCCAGCAGCCGCGGUAAUACGAAGGGUGCAAGCGUUAAUCGGAAUUACUGGGCGUAAAGCGCGCGUAGGUGGUUCAGCAAGUUGGAUGUGAAAUCCCCGGGCUCAACCUGGGAACUGCAUCCAAAACUACUGAGCUAG